rnacentral:rRNA from 1 species
UACGUAGGGGGCAAGCGUUAAUCGGAAUUACUGGGCGUAAAGCGUGCGCAGGCGGUGAUGUAAGUCAGAUGUGAAAUCCCCGGGCUCAACCUGGGAACUGCAUUUGUGACUGCAUCGCUGGAGUACGGCAGAGGGGGAUGGAAUUCCGCGUGUAGCAGUGAAAUUCGUAGAUAUUGGGAAGAACACCGAUGGCGAAGGCAGCCAUCUGGACCGACACUGACGCUGAGGCGCGAAAGCGUGGGGAGCAAACAGG